rnacentral:rRNA from 1 species
GACGAACGCUGGCGGCGUGCUUAACACAUGCAAGUCGAACGGAAAGGCCCUGCUUUUGUGGGGUGCUCGAGUGGCGAACGGGUGAGUAACACGUGAGUAACCUGCCCUUGACUUUGGGAUAACUUCAGGAAACUGGGGCUAAUACCGGAUAGGAGCUCCUGCUGCAUGGUGGGGGUUGGAAAGUUUCGGCGGUUGGGGAUGGACUCGCGGCUUAUCAGCUUGUUGGUGGGGUAGUGGCUUACCAAGGCUUUGACGGGUAGCCGGCCUGAGAGGGUGACCGGCCACAUUGGGACUGAGAUACGGCCCGGACUCCUACGGGAGGCAGCAGUGGGGAAUAUUGCACAAUGGGCGGAAGCCUGAUGCAGCAACGCCGCGUGCGGGAUGACGGCCUUCGGGUUGUAAACCGCUUUCGCCUGUGACGAAGCGUGAGUGACGGUAAUGGGUAAAGAAGCACCGGCUAACUACGUGCCAGCAGCCGCGGUGAUACGUAGGGUGCGAGCGUUGUCCGGAUUUAUUGGGCGUAAAGGGCUCGUAGGUGGUUGAUCGCGUCGGAAGUGUAAUCUUGGGGCUUAACCCUGAGCGUGCUUUCGAUACGGGUUGACUUGAGGAAGGUAGGGGAGAAUGGAAUUCCUGGUGGAGCGGUGGAAUGCGCAGAUAUCAGGAGGAACACCAGUGGCGAAGGCGGUUCUCUGGGCCUUUCCUGACGCUGAGGAGCGAAAGCGUGGGGAGCGAACAGGCUUAGAUACCCUGGUAGUCCACGCUGUAAACGGUGGGUACUAGGUGUGGGGUCCAUUCCACGGGUUCCGUGCCGUAGCUAACGCUUUAAGUACCCCGCCUGGGGAGUACGGCCGCAAGGCUAAAACCCAAAGGAAUUGACGGGGCCCCGCACAAGCGGCGGAGCAUGCGGAUUAAUUCGAUGCAACGCGUAGAACCUUACCUGGGUUUGACAUGGAUCGGGAGCGCUCAGAGAUGGGUGUGCCUCUUUUGGGGUCGGUUCACAGGUGGUGCAUGGCUGUCGUCAGCUCGUGUCGUGAGAUGUUGGGUUAAGUCCCGCAACGAGCGCAACCCUUGUUCACUGUUGCCAGCACGUUAUGGUGGGGACUCAGUGGAGACCGCCGGGGUCAACUCGGAGGAAGGUGGGGAUGACGUCAAGUCAUCAUGCCCCUUAUGUCCAGGGCUUCACGCAUGCUACAAUGGCUGGUACAGAGAGUGGCGAGCCUGUGAGGGUGAGCGAAUCUCGGAAAGCCGGUCUCAGUUCGGAUUGGGGUCUGCAACUCGACCUCAUGAAGUCGGAGUCGCUAGUAAUCGCAGAUCAGCAACGCUGCGGUGAAUACGUUCCCGGG